rnacentral:SRP_RNA from 14 species
CGUUUGGGUUCUGCGCAACGGAAACCCAUGAACCCUGUCAGGUCCGGAAGGAAGCAGCAGUAAGUGGACCCUUCCGUGUGCCGCAGAGGUGCCUGGAUCGAGC